CUAAUUACAUAUUGCCUUUUUUCAGAUUCAGAAAAACCAGGGAUCUUUAAUGCCUCUCCAGCUUCUGCAGUGCAUUGUUGAUGAGGUGAGGCAUCGUCUUAUGUGCUUUCCACUCCUAAAGUCAUCCCUAAUGGUGUGGAAAGCCUUAUAUUUUGUUUCCUAAUGAAGCACAAUGCCCAACAUCCUCGAAGCAAGUGUGUGGCAUGCUCGGAGCUGUGUUCCACGAGCCAGCCUUGUCCUGAAUCCUGCUCUCCCCAUCAAAGCUGAGAAGCGCUGUGAUGACACUGUCCCACAGGCUGGUCCUCAGGGAUGUCAGAGGCCCUGAAGACAAAACAGAAUAAUAUUAAUUGAUCCUUUUCCUGGCCAGAUGGGGAUGGAGCUGGAAAUUAAAGCGGUAUCACUUCUUCCAUAAGAGACACUGAAAAAAAGCAUUCCAUAGAAAAGGGUCAGAGUUGAGUGAAUAGUAACAUCGUGGAUAAAAUUUGCCUUUCUGGUUUUAUCCAUCAAAGCAAAUCACAGUUUAAAAGGGGGAGGGGUUUGCUCAAAGCUCUGGUCAAUGGUUGAUCUUUAAUUACCUCCUGAGGCAUUUUCAGAGGCUGCCUCCGGCUUCUUGAUUCCUCUAGUAUCCCAGUAAGGAGCCUCUCUCUUUCUAAAUUCUCUUGCUUCGAGCAUCCUUCCCCUGGCCUUCCUCUGCCCCUCUACCUCUGUGAAUUCAUCCACCUCACUCAGCUAGCUGAUUAUUCUUCUCGCUGACUUUCUGCUCCUCUUGAUUAUUAGCAGUCUUACAGUACUCAAGGCUCUCAAUUGAGGCAUAGUAACUUUAAAAAACCUCAGCCUCCUAGUGAAGUUUAGCUUUUAAAACUUUAAUUUUAUAAUGCUUAGAA
rnacentral:lncRNA from 1 species